CAGUACUCCUGGUACAUUACCAUGGACCCGCACUUCGAUUUCAACGUUGUAAGUACUAUCUGUGUGCUAGCGUCAGUAUUUAGAAGCAGCAUCAUAAUGGUUAUGUGGUAAACUUCAUUUUAAUGUUCCUCUUCAGUUGGAUAUGCCUCAUCUCAGGAGGUGGUGGUGCAAGCUCCUUUUGGACAACUACGGGAUUGAAGGAUGUGGCAAAAGAUUCUGUCAUUUCACCCAAGAAGGACACCAGAUGGUGAAUGGACUCCUGGCACCGGUGUUCCGGGUAACACGGAAGCAGAAGGUUCUGACCAAGCUAUUACAGCUGUAACUCAUCUGGGAAGGCUCUCCGACAAGUGUAGGACGUGUGUGUUGUACAUGUCUGUAUCAGUAUGUUAAUGUUUUACGCUGUGUGUGUUGAGUGAAUGUGUCUGAGCGAGUGUAAAUUUGUGUACCAGCAUAUUAAUUUACUGCACUGUGUGUGUGUGUGUGUGUGUGUGUGUGUGUGUGUGUGUGUG
ensembl:lncRNA